rnacentral:lncRNA from 1 species
CCCUCUCCCUCAUCUCUCACUUCACUUUCCACCAUUUUUCCUCCAUUGAUGCACCUUCGGAGCUUCACAAGAUCACACCAAAAACACAAAUCACCCUCUAAAUCUUACACUAAACACUUCCAUCUCCUUAGAUUCAAGAAGAUCCAUGGAGAUUCAAUCUUGAAGUUAGAAAGAGAAAGUUUGGUUUUGGGUGUAAGUUUGG